rnacentral:ncRNA from 1 species
UUUAGACCGUCGUGAGACAGGUCGGUUACUAUCUAUAUGGGGUGUCGGGAGUCUGAAGGUAAGAUGGAAAUAGUACGAGAGGAACUUUUCCGUCGUCGCCACUGGUAGACCGGUUGUCCGACAGGGCAAUGCCGGGUGGCUACGCGAUAAGGGGUAAAAGCUGAAAGCAUCUAAGCUUGAAACCUGACCUGAAAAGAGACUCCGUCACAGGACGCGGGUAGAAGACCCGUUUGAUAGACCUGGGAUGUACGCACGAAGGCAACGACGUGUUCAGUCCACAGGCACUAAAGUCCGAUAAUUCGGCAAC